GCAUAUCAAUAAGCGGAGGAAAAGAAACUAACAAGGAUUCCCCUAGUAACUGCGAGUGAAGCGGGAACAGCUCAAAUUUGAAAUCUCCAGGGUCCCCCUGGCGAAUUGUAGUUUAGAGAAGCGUUUUCGGCGACGGUCUUGGUUCAAGUCCCUUGGAACAGGGUGUCAUAGAGGGUGAGAACCCCGUUAAACCUUGAUUUGUUGCUAUGUGAUACGCUUUCCAAGAGUCGGGUUGUUUGGGAUUGCAGCCCAAAAUGGGAGGUAAAUUUCUUCUAAAGCUAAAUAUUUGCGAGAGACCGAUAGCGAACAAGUACCGUGAGGGAAAGAUGAAAAGAACUUUGAAAAGAGAGUUAAAUAGUACGUGAAAUUGUUGAAAGGGAAACGAUUGAAGUCAGUCGUACUGACGAGAAAUCAGCUCUUUGAGUGCGUUCUUGUGGGCGUGUGAGAGUCUUUAACGGGCCUCGCUGUUUGCAAUGUUUGUGCUUUUUGGGUGUACUUUUUCGUAUGGUAGGCCAACGUCAGUUUCGAUUAUCAUAAAAUGAUCAGAGGAAUGUAGCUUUGAUUUCGAUUGAAGUGUUAUAGCCUUUGGUAGAUGUGGUGAUCGAAACUGAGGAUUGCAACGAAUACCCAUUUUGGGCUAUCCGUCUGACCUCUGAAAGUUACUUAGGUGCCGAAAGCUUGCUUACGGUCAUUUAAGUUGGCGGUCAAAAGGUUAGAACGUGAUUAAAUUCGUUAAGGAUGUUGACGUA
rnacentral:rRNA from 1 species